UGGCACAAUUCAUUGUCCUGCUCUCCUCCUUGAGAGUUGGGAUAUUUCUGUUGUGCAAAAGCAAAGCUGGAGGUAAAUUAGCAGAGUGGCUCAUCAGUGCUUCAUCUGCCAGUCCCCUUCACACAGGA